CCUAAUACAUGCAAGUAGAACGCUGAAGAGAGGAGCUUGCUCUUCUUGGAUGAGUUGCGAACGGGUGAGUAACGCGUAGGUAACCUGCCUUGUAGCGGGGGAUAACUAUUGGAAACGAUAGCUAAUACCGCAUAACAAUGGAUGACACAUGUCAUUUAUUUGAAAGGGGCAAUUGCUCCACUACAAGAUGGACCUGCGUUGUAUUAGCUAGUAGGUGAGGUAAUGGCUCACCUAGGCGACGAUACAUAGCCGACCUGAGAGGGUGAUCGGCCACACUGGGACUGAGACACGGCCCAGACUCCUACGGGAGGCAGCAGUAGGGAAUCUUCGGCAAUGGGGGCAACCCUGACCGAGCAACGCCGCGUGAGUGAAGAAGGUUUUCGGAUCGUAAAGCUCUGUUGUAAGUCAAGAACGGGUGUGAGAGUGGAAAGUUCACACUGUGACGGUAGCUUACCAGAAAGGGACGGCUAACUACGUGCCAGCAGCCGCGGUAAUACGUAGGUCCCGAGCGUUGUCCGGAUUUAUUGGGCGUAAAGCGAGCGCAGGCGGUUUGAUAAGUCUGAAGUUAAAGGCUGUGGCUCAACCAUAGUUCGCUUUGGAAACUGUCAAACUUGAGUGCAGAAGGGGAGAGUGGAAUUCCAUGUGUAGCGGUGAAAUGCGUAGAUAUAUGGAGGAACACCGGUGGCGAAAGCGGCUCUCUGGUCUGUAACUGACGCUGAGGCUCGAAAGCGUGGGGAGCGAACAGGAUUAGAUACCCUGGUAGUCCACGCCGUAAACGAUGAGUGCUAGGUGUUGGAUCCUUUCCGGGAUUCAGUGCCGCAGCUAACGCAUUAAGCACUCCGCCUGGGGAGUACGACCGCAAGGUUGAAACUCAAAGGAAUUGACGGGGGCCCGCACAAGCGGUGGAGCAUGUGGUUUAAUUCGAAGCAACGCGAAGAACCUUACCAGGUCUUGACAUCCCGAUGCUAUUUCUAGAGAUAGAAAGUUACUUCGGUACAUCGGUGACAGGUGGUGCAUGGUUGUCGUCAGCUCGUGUCGUGAGAUGUUGGGUUAAGUCCCGCAACGAGCGCAACCCCUAUUGUUAGUUGCCAUCAUUCAGUUGGGCACUCUAGCGAGACUGCCGGUAAUAAACCGGAGGAAGGUGGGGAUGACGUCAAAUCAUCAUGCCCCUUAUGACCUGGGCUACACACGUGCUACAAUGGUUGGUACAACGAGUUGCGAGUCGGUGACGGCGAGCUAAUCUCUUAAAGCCAAUCUCAGUUCGGAUUGUAGGCUGCAACUCGCCUACAUGAAGUCGGAAUCGCUAGUAAUCGCGGAUCAGCACGCCGCGGUGAAUACGUUCCCGGGCCUUGUACACACCGCCCGUCACACCACGAGAGUUUGUAACACCCGAAGUCGGUGAGGUAACCUUUUGGAGCCAGCCGCCUAAGGUGGGACAGAUGAUUGGGGUGAAGUCGUAACAAGGUAGCCGUAUCGGAAGGUGCGGCUGGAUCAC
rnacentral:rRNA from 1 species